rnacentral:rRNA from 1 species
AUUGAACGCUGGCGGCAGGCCUAACACAUGCAAGUCGAACGGUAACAGGAAACAGCUUGCUGUUUCGCUGACGAGUGGCGGACGGGUGAGUAAUGUCUGGGAAACUGCCUGAUGGAGGGGGAUAACUACUGGAAACGGUAGCUAAUACCGCAUAACGUCGCAAGACCAAAGAGGGGGACCCUCGGGCCUCUUGCCAUCGGAUGUGCCCAGAUGGGAUUAGCUUGUUGGUGGGGUAACGGCUCACCAAGGCGACGAUCCCUAGCUGGUCUGAGAGGAUGACCAGCCACACUGGAACUGAGACACGGUCCAGACUCCUUCGGGAGGCAGCAGUGGGGAAUAUUGCACAAUGGGCGCAAGCCUGAUGCAGCCAUGCCGCGUGUAUGAAGAAGGCCUUCGGGUUGUAAAGUACUUUCAGCGGGGAGGAAGGGAGUAAAGUUAAUACCUUUGCUCAUUGACGUUACCCGCAGAAGAAGCGCCGGCUAACUCCGUG